rnacentral:rRNA from 1 species
UACGUAGGGGGGCAAGCGUUGUCCGGAUUUAUUGGGCGUAAAGAGCGUGUAGGCGCUGGGUAGGUCCGUUGUGAAAACUCGAGGCUCAACCUCGAGACGCCGAUGGAAACCCCCCAGCUAGAGUCCGGAAGAGGAGAGUGGAAUUCCUGGUGUAGCGGUGAAAUGCGCAGAUAUCAGGAAGAACACCCGUGGCGAAGGCGGCUCUCUGGAACGCAACUGACGCUGAGACGCGAAAGCGUGGGGAGCAAACAGG